AUGCAAAAGGGUUGUGGAGUUUUGAUGUUAGGUGAGUUCACGCUUGUUAGCAUAGUGGGAAGCUGUUCAUGUUUGGGUAAUGUUAAAUGGUUGCAACAGGUUCAUGGGGUGGCAGUUUUAGUUGGAUUUUACUCCAAUGUGAUUCUCAACAAUGCUUUGGUUGAUGCUUACGGAAAAUGUGGUGAACCCGAUUCUUAG